AUGGUGAGGAGGAGAGGGAGGAUUGGAGGAAAAGAAAGGAAAAUGGGAAGAAGGAGAACUCACAUAAGGAAAAAAAAGGAGGAGAAUGAGAAAGAAGAGCAGGGGCAAAAAGAAAUUGAGAAAGAGAAAGAAGAGGAACAAAAGGAGAUAAAUGAGCAGAGGGGAAGGAAGGAGAAUGGUAAAGAGGAGUAUGAUUCGAUGGAAAGGGAUGAGAAGGACCAGAAUGGCAAUAAAAAUUGCCCCCACUUCUUUAGAGCGAUCAUAUCCUAUUCAUUUAUGGAACAUGUGACCAUUCCAGUAGGAUUCCACAAAAACUUGGAAGAUUGUACAUCAUUGGUUUCCCUGAGAGGUCCAAGCGGGAAUAAAUGGCCUGUAGAGCUGGCUAAAAUCUCCGGGGAGCUAUGCUUUGCACGUGGAUGGAAGGAGUUCCUCUCCGACCAUCGCGUCGGGUAUGGCUACCUGCUGGUAUUCCGUUACGACGGGCAGUCACAGUUCUCAGUGACAAUUUUCUUGCCAUCGUCCUGCGAGGCUCCGUACGCGUCUCUCGCCCAGCCGCAACACAAGGACAUCAACGUGGCCAGUGAUGAAGACAAAGGGCUCACGAGCACCAAUGCAGAUGGUACUGCCCCGCAAGAAGAAGACACUCACACUGACACCGGUAUAGAUGGUACACUACAAAAUGAAUCUUCAGAAGAAGAAGAAAAUUCUUUAGAAGAUGAAGAUGCACAUGAUGUUGAAGACACAUUAUCAGAAACUCUAGGGAAUGAUGAAGACUGUGAACGUCGCAUGUGGAGCAACGAUGCUCUAGAACCAGCGCAACAACAACAGGAUGAUCGAUGCAAGACCGGCGAUGGUUUUAUGGUUAGGAAGAGGGCUAGGUUUAGGAAGGUUGAUGAUAUCAUGGCACAAGUGGACCAAUCCAAGAAGUCCAGGACUGCGGAGUGGAAAAACUCUACAGCUCCAUCUGGUGAACCAACUUCUGGGGGAGCAGCGUCAAGCGACAGUUUGGCAGAAUCUGAGCAUCAUCCACCCAUUAUGUCCAAGGCUGAGGAGAUAAGGUCUCCAUCUGGUGGUUCUGCUUCUAUGUCAGCAGUAUCAAGUGACAAUUUGGCAGAGUUGGCUAGUCGUCCAUCAAAGGACUCCAAGGAUGAGGGAAAAAGCUCUGCUACUCCUUUAAUUGUUUAUACCAGGUCUGCUGCUUCAGCAUCUAAAAGAGUUCCUCUCAAAAAAGCUUUGGAAGAAACAACAUCUAGUGACAAUUUGGCAGUUCAUACAGGUGUAUUUGCGCCAGAAUCCGUGUCCUCGAACAUAACCACGUGGAACAAAUCUUUUGAUAAAAGGCUUAGUAAGCAGAAUCAAUUCCCGAUGUUCAACAAGAGCAAUGGUGAAAACCAACCUGGCAGAAUUCUCAUCAAAGUUAUGAGAAGGCCAGGAUUAAUGUCACAGAGGCGUCUAGUAACUCAAAGGGAGAAGGAAUACGCCAUGGAGAGGGCACUGAGGUUCAAAUCCGACAGGCCCUUCUACAUCAAGGCAAUGAGGCACAACGAUGUCUAUGCCUUGUACUUCAUGAUCAUCCCGGACAAGUUCGUGAAAACAUUUCUCCCCAAAGAGAGCAGGAAGAUGACCUUGUGGGACCCACAGGCGAAGCCGUGGAAGGUGUGGUACGAGUACGCUAGUCCCCAUGCGGCAUUCAGCGCAGGGUGGGGCGCGCUGGCCAUGGAGAACAACCUGGAGAAGUGGGACGUGUGCAUCUUUGAGCUCCUGGACCAAGAAUACAACAUCAAGCUGCACGUCUACAAGGUCGUGCUGGAGAUCACCCCCUGCGUCAUCACACCAAAACCUCGCACAUGCGCGAGUGUUAAUUCGCCCCAAUACGUUUUGAUCUAG
rnacentral:rRNA from 1 species